GAUGAACGCUGGCGGCGUGCCUAAUACAUGCAAGUCGAGCGAACGGACGAGAAGCUUGCUUCUCUGAUGUUAGCGGCGGACGGGUGAGUAACACGUGGAUAACCUACCUAUAAGACUGGGAUAACUUCGGGAAACCGGAGCUAAUACCGGAUAAUACUUUGAACCGCAUGGUUCAAAAGUGAAAGACGGUCUUGCUGUCACUUAUAGAUGGAUCCGCGCUGCAUUAGCUAGUUGGUAAGGUAACGGCUUACCAAGGCAACGAUGCAUAGCCGACCUGAGAGGGUGAUCGGCCACACUGGAACUGAGACACGGUCCAGACUCCUACGGGAGGCAGCAGUAGGGAAUCUUCCGCAAAGGGCGAAAGCCUGACGGAGCAACGCCGCGUGAGUGAUGAAGGUCUUCGGAUCGUAAAACUCUGUUAUUAGGGAAGAACAUAUGUGUAAGUAACUGUGCACAUCUUGACGGUACCUAAUCAGAAAGCCACGGCUAACUACGUG
rnacentral:rRNA from 1 species